UCGCGGUCUGUCGGCCGUUGAAAACAUUCAUUCCAUUCAGUUCUACGAGCGACACGUUAACGGAAGGUCGCGCUGUUUCGCAUCCCCGCAGAAAUUUUUGCCGCUUAUUGCUUAUUAAUCUGUAAUAUCGUGUGAAAAUUAAAUCGUCUUUACGUCGAAGCAAAGUGAAAAUAGCGUGAGUGCAUUACAACAACCAGCAAAAAAGAAAAAUAAAAGUAAAUCAUUUCAAGAGCAAAACAAAAGAAAAUUUUUAAAGAAACAACAACGAUCAGUGCAUC